GGGCCGAGCGAUCCCGGGCGGAUUCCCUGCGGAAGGAGCUGCGGGAGCAGCGGCAGCUCCGGGAUCAGCUGCUCUCCCGGGACAGGGAGGAGCUGGAUGAGGCCAAGGCCUCGUGGCUGGAGCAGCAGCGGGAAUUGCUCCGGGAAUGCUCCGAGGAGCGCCGGAGGCUGGAAAAGGCCCGGGUGGAAUUCCAGAGCCGGGAGAGGCGGAGCCAGGAGCGCUCCGAGCACCUGGAGUCGGCCCUGAGGGACCUGGACAAGGGUCAGGCCGAGCUGCGGUUCCGGGCGCGGGAGCUGCGGGCGGAGCAGGAGCGGCUGGAGCGGGAGCGGGAGGGGCUGGAGGGGGCGCGGCGGGAGCUGCGGGCGGAGCGGGAGAAGCUGCUCCGGGACACGGAGCGGCUCCGGCAGCGGGAGCUCGACAUCCAGGCCCUG